UACAGAGGUCUCAAGCGUUGUUCGGAUUCAUUGGGCGUAAAGGGUGCGUAGGCGGCUCGUCGCGUCGGCCGUGAAAACCUAGGGCUUAACCCUGGGCUUGCGGUCGAUACGGGCGGGCUAGAGUUCGAUAGGGGGGACUGGAAUUCCUGGUGUAGCGGUGAAAUGCGCAGAUAUCAGGAGGAACACCGGUGGCGAAGGCGGGUCUCUGGGCCGAUACUGACGCUGAGGAGCGAAAGCGUGGGGAGCGAACAGG
rnacentral:rRNA from 1 species